rnacentral:lncRNA from 1 species
GAAAUAGGAGGAUUUUAUUCAGGUGGCCACUGGCCCAGCGGAUUAAUAUCCAGAGGCUGAGCAACGAACAAAGAUCAGGCUUGACUUUUAUUCAGGCGACUGAAGGGGAGUGGCUAGCCAGUGGUGCAAAACUUGCGGGGUGGGGAAAGCGAGCUUACAGAAGCAGAACAAAGGCAGUUAAUCAAACUGUGACAGGUUUUGCAAUUCAGGCAUGUCUUGUGACCUUUGCCAUCCUGCAUAGAUGGGAAAACAUGAACUUAUAAAAUCCUUGCAAACUUGCAGAAAUAGUUACAAAAAUAGUUAUAAGAGCAGAACAAAGAAUGAUGGCAUGGGGAAAGAAUUCCAGGGGGAGACUAAGAACUUGCUUUUCUCGUCCCUGCUCUUGGAUCCCAUUUCUUUGGGGCCCCUGCCUGGCCUUGCAGAUAAUGUUAUCAUAGCUCCAACUGGACUUGUUUUCCCUUUACUUGUUUUUCUCAUAUUUCCUGCUUCAGGACAGUGCAGCCAAGAGAGGCAGAGCCAGCCUGUGACUGUGCUGACCAAGAGCCAGGCUGGGGAGCCUUAGCCCUGCAGCUUCUGCCAGUGCACAGGGAAGAUGCUGGCUUUGAUGUUGAGGUUGCCUCCUCCCGAGAAGCAGAGCAUGUCCUCACACUGGGUGUUCCAGGCCACACUGUUGGCGUUUGGUUCCUGAAAAAGCAGCUCCUUGGUGUCGAUGUCAUACACCAGGCAAGUGUCAUUUUCAUCUACCACGGCCAGCUUCUUACGGGAGGCACUCAUGUCCAAGCAGCGCACAGCUGUGGCCUGCUUCAGCAGGACGAUAGCAAAGAGAUUGUCCACGAAGAUCUUCAGGAUCUGAGGUCACACAGCUGCACAGAGAGGUGGGGGCAUCAGUGGAGCUCCAGAGUCAAGGCUACAGUGAGCAGUGACUGUGCCACUGCAUUCCAGCUUGGGCAACAGUCAAGACCCUCUUAUUCCCCAGGACCAGGGCACUCUGAUGCUGGCAGACAAGCCCUUCUUCCUGGUGCUGGAGGAAGAUGGCACAACUGUAGAGACAGAAGAAGAGUCCUCCCUUCCAAGCUCUGGCAGGCAAUACAGUGCUCCUGGAUUUCUGUUGGGUGGCUGGGGCUGUGGGUGCCAUCUUGUCACCUUGAAGGGAAAGCCCACCUGAGCACGACAUCCACACUGAGGGAAGGACACAGAGUCAGAGGUUGGGAGAGAGUCCAGGUGACAUUAUUAAGCACCCACGUGCAGCCAAGGUACAGUUACCCCAGAACAUUCUCACUGGGAUCCAGGUGGCUGUGAAGGUCACCUAGAGAGGUCAGCAGAGCUCCUCCAGCCUCUGGAGUUGACAGCUGUGAAGUCGAUAUAAUAAGGGCCCCGAAUCACCCAACCUCAAUCAGCUCCUUCCAGUGACUGCCAUCGUGGGCACUCUACACUGAGUCAUGUAGCAUGCCAGCUGGGGCAGCUACUUCACUACAUCCUAGAGCCCCACCAAAAGCAGGAGGAAGAGGCCUGAGGCAAGUUCCGGCAAAUACUAUCUGCCCUACAGUACCACCACCAAAAGAAACAUUUCCACAGGAACCUGAUGCCCCAGAAUGUACUUGUAUUUACAAGAUGCCAACUACAACAUAAAAUAUCUUUGUCUUUGGCACCAGAUUUAUGAUAGGCUACAAGCUGGACACCUUCUGUGCAACUCCCUGUUAUACUGCCCUAUGGUGAAUGGGUAGAGGUGGAAUCUGGAGUAAUUUUUUACACCACAAUAAACAGAACCUUACCAUUUGUCAGACCUUUGUGGAGCUGAAGAAACAAAUACUGUGUGGCAAAUAUAAGAUACAGUUGUUCCUUUCUUCAGAAGGAGAAGAGGCCAGGCGCGGUGUCUCACGCCUAUAAUCCCAGCACUUUGGGAGGCCGAGGUGGGCAGAUCAUGAGGUCAGGAGAUCGACACUAGCCGAGACCACCCUAGGUAACAUGGUGAAACCCCGUCUCUACUAAAAAUACAAAAACAAAAUUAGCCGGGCGUGGUGGCGGGCGCUUGUAGUCCCAGCUACUCGAGAAGCUGAGGCGGGAGAAUGGUGUGAACCCGGAAGGCGGAGCUUGCAGUGAGCUGAGAUCACACCACUGCACUCCAGCCUGGGCGACAGAGCGAGACUCCAAAAAAAUAAAUGUUAAAAAAAGGGAGAAGGACUCAUCAACACAUUGCUGCCUGCAAACCCAGGGAAAGACCACCUUACACCACAUUAUAUGGCAUCUGUAAAUCAACAUGGGCCAGCGGGAGACACCAAGGCCCUACCAGGAGCUGCUCUUUGAUCACGAGGUUCACGCUGCAUCUUUUCGGGAAGGUUAAAAAAUAAUAAAUGACCACCAGGAUCACAGAAGGAAAGAGCUCGUGAUGUCCAUGGAAUUCACGCAGAUCACAUCCAGGAAUCUUUGGAACAAAAAAUUCACAACACCAUGGCCUCAUACAAAAAUGCUGGGCUGCAGGAAACCUGAGGCAGAGAGCUCCAUCAUCACAGUGAAGUCCCCGCCUUCAGCAGAUCCCACCAACAGCCACAGUGCUUC